AAUAUCUUAAACUUCCACUCAGAAACCAAGAGACAGCUACUGCAGAUCCCAGAGCCCUGCUGCUAUGUGCUCACAGCAGGUUGCACCGUUUAACAAGCAGGCUUCUGCAUUCUGCACUACCAUCCCUUUCUGAAUAAAUGUAAGCUGCGGCCCCAUGUAGAGCGCCUUUUUAAUUUAUUGAGCUUUACGGCCUUGCAGAGUCUUUUUGGACCAUGGUGCUUAGGCACAGAAGGUGGGGCUGCAGAAACAGAUCCAACAGAUCCAACAAUAUAACCAUACAGAAUCUGAGGAAGUUUAGGAGACCCUGAAACCAAACUGUCAAAAAGGAAUGAACCACAUCCUCCAAAAAUAUCAGGUCCCCUGCCUGAUAGAGUUAUGCAGACACACCAACAAAGCAUCUGGGCUCUGCUUUUCCUGCUGUAGGGGACACUGGAGACAAUCACAAGACCCUCAAACAAUUAUCUUGCUGAUCUUCCCCAAAACCCUACAGCCAGUUUGAAGCAUAAGUGUAUGAUCACAGUGAACAAGAACCCAGUAUGCUGGAGUGGGGCUGAAAAACUGUGCUGCAGACCUACUUGAAAAUACUGAAGCUGGCUGUGAUCACUACUUCAGAUAUUACACAGUUGCGUUUUUUGCUUCCUGGAAGCACUGACCACCUGCUGAUUUCAUGCCAGAAGUCUUUGUUGAUUUGUAGCUAUUUACAUACUGUAACAAAAGCAGUGAUUGGCCUUUUGGUUAGAGGGAGAUUCUCUCCGCUCAUCUGUGAGCAAAGAGCAUCCAUAAGAUCCCAUUGUUUUCAAUUGCUUUUAGGACUUUCCCCAGAUGCUAAAUGAUCUAUCUGCACUGACAUAAAGGUAAUGCCUUGUAAGGCUUUAAAACAGGUUUGUUGACGUGCUAUUGGGCAGAUAUUUAACAGCUCUUAUGAUGAUGACUCAUAUGCUAGCUUUUGCGGUGAUUGAUGAUAUCACUGUCUAGUUUAUUCACCAAGAACACUGAUUGAUUUUAGUAAUAUGUUUCACAACAUCAGAUCCUGCAAAAUGCAAAUCAAUGCCAAAGUUCAGUUAAACAGUUAUAAAUAAAUUGAAACCACUACUAACCA
rnacentral:lncRNA from 1 species